UGAGGAAUAUUGGUCAAUGGGCGCAAGCCUGAACCAGCCAUGCCGAGUGCAGGAAGACGGUCCUAUGGAUUGUAAACUGCUUUUAUUUGGGAAUAAACCUCUUUACGUGUAGAGAGCUGAAGGUACCAAUCGAAUAAGCCACGGCUAACUACGUGCCAGCAGCCGCGGUAAUACGUAGGUGGCGAGCGUUAUCCGGAUUUAUUGGGUUUAAAGGGUCCGCAGGCGGUCUUAUAAGUCAGUGGUGAAAGCCUACAGCUCAACUGCAGAACUGCCAUUGAUACUGUAAGACUUGAAUUCGAUCGAGGUGGGCGGAAUAUGACAUGUAGCGGUGAAGUGCUUAGGUAUGUCAUAGAACACCGAUAGCGAAGGUAGCUCACUAGGUCUGGAUUGACGCUCAGGGACGAAAGCGUGGGGAGCAAAC
rnacentral:rRNA from 1 species